GGGCUUAUGGUCUAGGGGUAUGAUUUUCGCUUCGCACCAUCUCUCUAACAGUGUAAAAGCUGUCGUACAGAGCAAAAGCGCUUGUGAAAGGACCGGGGUUCAAAUCCCCGUGAGUCCA